rnacentral:rRNA from 1 species
UACGGGGGGGCAAGCGUUGUUCGGAAUUACUGGGCGUAAAGGGCUCGUAGGCGGCCAACUAAGUCAGACGUGAAAUCCCUAGGCUCAACCUAGGAACUGCGUCUGAUACUGGAUGGCUUGAAUCCGGGAGAGGGAUGCAGAAUUCCAGGUGUAGCGGUGAAAUGCGUAGAUAUCUGGAGGAAUACCGGUGGCGAAGGCGGCAUCCUGGACCGGCAUUGACGCUGAGGAGCGAAAGCCAG